rnacentral:rRNA from 1 species
GAUGAACGCUGGCGGCGUGCCUAGUACAUGCAAGUCGAGCGAACAGACGAGGAGCUUGCUCCUCUGACGUUAGCGGCGGACGGGUGAGUAACACGUGGAUAACCUACCUAUAAGACUGGGAUAACUUCGGGAAACCGGAGCUAAUACCGGAUAACAUGUUGAACCGCAUGGUUUAACAGUGAAAGACGGUCUUGCUGUCACUUAUAGAUGGAUCCGCGCCGCAUUAGCUAGUUGGUAAGGUAACGGCUUACCAAGGCAACGAUGCGUAGCCGACCUGAGAGGGUGAUCGGCCACACUGGAACUGAGACACGGUCCAGACUCCUACGGGAGGCAGCAGUAGGGAAUCUUCCGCAAUGGGCGAAAGCCUGACGGAGCAACGCCGCGUGAGUGAAGAAGGUCUUCGGAUCGUAAAACUCUGUUAUUAGGGAAGAACAAAUGUGUAAGUAACUAUGCACGUCUUGACGGUACCUAAUCAGAAAGCCACGGCUAACUACGUG